AUUGAACGCUGGCGGCAUGCCUUACACAUGCAAGUCGAACGGCAGCACGGGGGCAACCCUGGUGGCGAGUGGCGAACGGGUGAGUAAUGCAUCGGAACGUGCCCAGUAGUGGGGGAUAACUAGUCGAAAGAUUAGCUAAUACCGCAUACGGCCUAUGGGUGAAAGCGGGGGACUUUCGGGCCUCGCGCUAUUAGAUGAGCCUAAGUCCGAUUAGCUAGUUGGUAGGGUAAUGGCCACCAAGGCGACGAUCGGUAGCUGGUCUGAGAGGACGACCAGCCACACUGGGACUGAGACACGGCCCAGACUCCUACGGGAGGCAGCAGUGGGGAAUAUUGGACAAUGGGCGCAAGCCUGAUCCAGCGAUGCCGCGUGUGUGAAGAAGGCCUGCGGGUUGUAAAGCACUUUCAGUAGGGAAGAAAGCCGAGUGCUAAUAUCACUCGGUCUUGACGUUACUUACAGAAGAAGCACCGGCUAACUCCGUGCCAGCCGCCGCGGUAA
rnacentral:rRNA from 1 species